rnacentral:rRNA from 1 species
UACGUAGGGUGCGAGCGUUGUCCGGAAUUACUGGGCGUAAAGAGUUCGUAGGCGGUUUGUCGCGUCGUUUGUGAAAACCCGGGGCUCAACUUCGGGCUUGCAGGCGAUACGGGCAGACUUGAGUGUUUCAGGGGAGGACUGGAAUUCCUGGUGUAGCGGUGGAAAUGACGCAGAUAUCAGGAGGAACACCGGUGGCGAAGGCGGGUCUCUGGGCCGUAACUGACGCUGGAGGAGCGAAAGCGUGGGGAGCGAACAGG